rnacentral:rRNA from 1 species
AGCGAACGCUGGCGGCAGGCCUAACACAUGCAAGUCGAACGAACCCUUCGGGGUUAGUGGCGGACGGGUGAGUAACACGUGGGAACGUGCCUUUAGGUUCGGAAUAACUCAGGGAAACUUGUGCUAAUACCGAAUGUGCCUUUCGGGGGAAAGAUUUAUCGCCUUUAGAGCGGCCCGCGUCUGAUUAGCUAGUUGGUGAGGUAAUGGCUCACCAAGGCUACGUUCAGUAGCUGGUCUGAGAGGAUGACCAGCCACAUUGGGACUGAGACACGGCCCAAACUCCUACGGGAGGCAGCAGUGGGGAAUCUUGCGCAAUGGGCGAAAGCCUGACGCAGCCAUGCCGCGUGGAUGAUGAAGGUCUUAGGAUUGUAAAAUCCUUUCACCGGUGAAGAUAAUGACUGUAGCCGGAGAAGAAGCCCCGGCUAACUUCGUGCCAGCCGCCGCAGUAACAC